GACGAACGCUGGCGGCGUGCUUAACACAUGCAAGUCGAACGGAAAGGCCCUGCUUGCAGGGUACUCGAGUGGCGAACGGGUGAGUAACACGUGGGUGAUCUGCCCUGCACUUCGGGAUAAGCCUGGGAAACUGGGUCUAAUACCGGAUAGGAGCCAUUUUUAGUGUGAUGGUUGGAAAGUUUUUUCGGUGUAGGAUGAGCUCGCGGCCUAUCAGCUUGUUGGUGGGGUAAUGGCCUACCAAGGCGGCGACGGGUAGCCGGCCUGAGAGGGUGGACGGCCACAUUGGGACUGAGAUGCGGCCCCGGCUCCUACGGGAGGCAGCAGUGGGGAAUAUUGCACAAUGGGCGCCAGCCUGAUGCAGCGGCGCCGCGGGGGGGAUGACGGCCUUCGGGUUGUAAACUCCUUUCGCUAGGGACGAAGCUUUUUGUGACGGUACCUAGAUAAGAAGCACCGGCUAACUACGUG
rnacentral:rRNA from 1 species